GUGUCAGCCGCCGCGGUAAUACGGAGGGUGCAAGCGUUGUUCGGAAUUACUGGGCGUAAAGCGCGUGCAGGCGGUUGAGCAAGUCAGAUGUGAAAGCCUUCCGCUUAACGGAAGAAGUGCAUUUGAAACUACUCGGCUAGAGUUCGAGAGAGGAGAGUGGAAUUCCCGGUGUAGAGGUGAAAUUCGUAGAUAUCGGGAGGAACACCGGUGGCGAAGGCGGCUCUCUGGCUCGAUACUGACGCUGAGACGCGAAAGCGUGGGGAGCAAACAGGAUUAGAUACCCUGGUAGUCCACGCCGUAAACGAUGGGCACUAGGUGUAGGAGGUAUUGACCCCUUCUGUGCCGAAGCUAACGCAUUAAGUGCCCCGCCUGGGGAGUACGGCCGCAAGGCUAAA
rnacentral:rRNA from 1 species